GACGAACGCUGGCGGCGUGCUUAACACAUGCAAGUCGAACGGAAAGGCCCUGCUUUUGUGGGGUGCUCGAGUGGCGAACGGGUGAGUAACACGUGAGUAACCUGCCCUUGACUUUGGGAUAACUUCAGGAAACUGGGGCUCAUACCGGAUAGGAGCUCCUGCUGCAUGGUGGGGGUUGGAAAGUUUCGGCGGUUGGGGAUGGACUCGCGGCUUAUCAGCUUGUUGGUGGGGUAGUGGCUUACCAAGGCUUUGACGGGUAGCCGGCCUGAGAGGGUGACCGGCCACAUUGGGACUGAGAUACGGCGCAGACGCCUACGGGAGGCAGCAGCGGGGAAUAUUGCACAAUGGGCGGAAGCCUGAUGCAGCAACGCCGCGUGCGGGAUGACGGCCUUCGGGGUGUAAACCGCUUUCGCCUGUGACGAAGCGUGAGUGACGGUAAUGGGUAAAGAAGCACCGGCUAACUACGUG
rnacentral:rRNA from 1 species